CCUUAUCCAGAAUUUGCUACCAUCACUAUAAAACUAAUGUGUUUUUAAAUUGGGGUACUGCUAAAAAAUUCAAAUCUAAAUACUCUUUUUCUUCAAACUCAUAGGAAAAUCGGUAUUAUAGUCUUUUCAUGCUAUUAAGCCUUUGUAUUGCUUAUUAUAAAUUUAACUGUCAUAAAUAUUAUACAGCUGUUACUUUACAAAAAUACAUUGUGAACUUCUUCAGUGAAUUCACAUCUAACAUGUGGGAUUUUUUGCAAAAUAUUUUUUAUUCUGCAAAACAGAGCCUUCAGUGAAAACAGAAUUCACUAUCCACAACACAACUUCAUUGUACCAACCUAAGAGAGCCAACUGGAGACAUCUAGAUUGGAGACAAUCUGAGAUGCCGUUGUGAUUGGUGGAGUUCACAGGGAUAUGGAUCAGAAUUUCUGCCACUUGCAACAAUUCACUGGUCAUCAGUAGCUGCUUCCAUUCAAGACUUAAAUAUCCUAGGUUCCUAGACUGGUAAAAGACAAGGUCACUGUCUUUUUAAUCCUGAGGCUCACCUG